rnacentral:rRNA from 1 species
GGUGUGACUGCGUACCUUUUGUAUAAUGGGUCAGCGACUUAUAUUCUGUAGCAAGGUUAACCGUAUAGGGGAGCCGCAGGGAAACCGAGUCUUAACUGGGCGUUAAGUUGCAGGGUAUAGACCCGAAACCCGGUGAUCUAGCCAUGGGCAGGUUGAAGGUUGGGUAACACUAACUGGAGGACCGAACCGACUAAUGUUGAAAAAUUAGCGGAUGACCUGUGGCUGGGGGUGAAAGGCCAAUCAAACCGGGAGAUAGCUGGUUCUCCCCGAAAGCUAUUUAGGUAGCGCCUCGUGAACUCAUCUUCGGGGGUAGAGCACUGUUUCGGCUAGGGGGCCAUCCCGGCUUACCAACCCGAUGCAAACUACGAAUACCGAAGAAUGUUAUCACGGGAGACACACGGCGGGUGCUAACGUCCGUCGUGAAGAGGGAAACAACCCAGACCGCCAGCUAAGGUCCCAAAGUCAUGGUUAAGUGGGAAACGAUGUGGGAAGGCACAGACAGCCAGGAUGUUGGCUUAGAAGCAGCCAUCAUUUAAAGAAAGCGUAAUAGCUCACUGGUCGAGUCGGCCUGCGCGGAAGAUGUAACGGGGCUAAACCAUGCACCGAAGCUGCGGCAGCGACACUAUGUGUUGUUGGGUAGGGGAGCGUUCUGUAAGCCGUUGAAGGUGUGCUGUGAGGCAUGCUGGAGGUAUCAGAAGUGCGAAUGCUGACAUAAGUAACGAUAAAGCGGGUGAAAAGCCCGCUCGCCGGAAGACCAAGGGUUCCUGUCCAACGUUAAUCGGGGCAGGGUGAGUCGACCCCUAAGGCGAGGCCGAAAGGCGUAGUCGAUGGGAAACAGGUUAAUAUUCCUGUACUUGGUGUUACUGCGAAGGGGGGACGGAGAAGGCUAUGUCAGCCGGGCGACGGUUGUCCCGGUUUAAGCGUGUAGGUGUGUGUUCCAGGCAAAUCCGGUUCACUUUAACACUGAGGCGUGAUGACGAGGCACUACGGUGCUGAAGUGAUAAAUGCCCUGCUUCCAGGAAAAGCCUCUAAGCAUCAGGUAACA